GGGUUUCACCAGAAGUAGGUAGCUCAACCGCAAGGAAAGCGCUUACCACGGUAUGUUUCAUGACUGGGGUGAAGUCGUAACAAGGUAGCCGUAGGUGAACCUGCAGAAGGAUCA
rnacentral:rRNA from 1 species